rnacentral:rRNA from 1 species
GGGCCCGCACAAGCGGUGGAGCAUGUGGUUUAAUUCGAUGAUACGCGAGGAACCUUACCAGGGCUUAAAUGCAGUAUGACAGAUUUGGAAACAGAUUUUUCUUCGGACAUAUUGCAAGGUGCUGCAUGGUUGUCGUCAGCUCGUGCCGUGAGGUGUCAGGUUAAGUCCUAUAACGAGCGCAACCCCCUAUUUCUAGUUGCCAGCACAUAAUGGUGGGGACUCUAGAGAGACUGCCGGUGCAAACCGUGAGGAAGGUGGGGAUGACGUCAAAUCAUCACGGCCCUUACGUCCUGGGCUACACACGUGCUACAAUGGUAGGGACAGAGAGCAGCCACUUCGCGAGAAGGAGCGAAUCUACAAACCCUAUCUCAGUUCGGAUCGCAGUCUGCAACUCGCCUACGUGAAGGCGGAAUCGCUAGUAAUCG